rnacentral:lncRNA from 1 species
CGUAAUUUCAGGCCAAUUUGGAUUACAAGUUAUAGUUAGAAAUAUAUCUGACUUUCCAUAGCGUUGAACGAUAGCCAUUGCAUCUAAAUAUCUUUUGAGCAUAUCUCUAAGCCCACAUGUGAAAGUCUGUGAUAGAACAAUCUUCUUAUCAAUUUUUGACGCUCUUGUUUCUCCAUUUUGAAUACUAUCUACAAUACCUUGAUAAAGUUUAGCACAAAUUUGCUUUUGGUUGCUACGAAAAUAGUCGAAUCCGGUAGUUUCAAUCUUAACGUACAUAUCUACAACAUAUUGUUGAAAAAGUCUACCAGUGUGAAGUAACACAGACUUACCAAAAGGUCAAAUUUGUAACUUGUAGGAAUAGUACUCCCGACAAGAAACCUGAGAUCGUUUCUUCAUUCCAUUGAGCACUGCAUGAGGACAAAGAAAAUGCAUCUUACAUUCAUCUAGAACACUUUAUAUGAGUUAGAAAACAUACAAAAAAGUGUAUUAGCAAACCUUCGACCUCUUUUUCGAUGAUUUCGGUUGCAAAAUUUACUGCGCUAGGAAAAGCUAUGCAGUCAGCUAAAUUUUGACUUUCAAAAUAUGUCUUUUGGUAUCUUUGAAUACCUUCAUGCCAACCAGAUUCUCCAAAUGUGAAAAGUAAAGGAUAUUGCAAAGGAUCAUAACAACCAUAAUAAUAAUGAACCUUAUGUGAAUUACCAGAAUGACCAUAUACAGUAAUAUCACGAGCAUGAAUAUUUGCAUUGUCAUCAUCCUCAACCCAUACAAUAGCUACUUGAGAUGCCAAAGGAGUAUUGAAGACUUUUUGAUCAAGUCCAGGAUCGCAUCUUAUUUGUAUUCGAUGGUCAUGCAAAUUAGUCAUAUUACUUAAAGACCUAAAGAAUCUACUAUAUGGAUUUACUUUCAAGAUUUCAAUCAAAAUGAUCAAAGUAGAUUCAACAAAAUUUUCUAAAAUUUUCAUACGAUUUUCAAUUUCGUUAUCUGUAUCAUAAAAAUAUAACUGCACAUAAGAAGGCUUAUUAUUUUCUGGCAUAAGUUGAUUCACAUAAUGAUAUACUUGUCCCUGAACUCUGAAAGUGUAAAUACCUUUAUAUGUUCUAAUAAGUUCUUUAUCACAUUUUACACCAAACGAAGUGAAAGCAAAAUGGUUAUUAUAUCCACAUGCACUUUUCUUAAAUUCCAUGCAUUCAGGUUCUUUAGAAGUAAAUAAAUCAUACAAUUCAGUCGGUGAAUCAGGCAUAUAAAGUUUAACUUUUCCAUCAGAACAACAAAACCCUUUAGUUUCUCGAUAAAAUUUUCGUGCACCACAAUAUUCACAGUAGUUCCAUGUCGAUAAUACAUAUGCAUUAGUUGGUAUGUUCAAUAGGUUAGAAAAUCCCCGUACUUUAGAAUGAACAAUAUUAGUCGAUUCUUGAUUUGAAGUGGAAGUCUGGAAAAUAGGAGGAACUGUAAACUUCUGAGCAUGGGAAGCACCUAAAUUAUUUAUUUUCAAAUAAUGUAGAAUCAUUUAUCCUUUUACGAAGAUCAAUGCGUAAAGUUUGAAUUCAAUUCCUCCUAUCCGCCUGUCUUUGAUUUUGUUGUUGGCGAAUAAAGGCAGUAUAUGAUUUACUUGUAUUUUGAGAAGUACCAUCAAUGUUACAAAAUCUAGAUUCUUGAUCAACAUAUGUUUUUGAAGAAUUCAUGGAGAACAAAACUUCACCUAAUUUAAUUUAAAAAAAUUCAUUUUAGUAAAUGAAAUAACAAAA